AUAAUUAAUGAAAUUAUUAAACUAAAUGAAAUAUGGAAAAACAAUUAAUGUAAUUAUAUUAAUGAAAUUACUAAAAAGACGCUAUAUUUCUUUUUUUUAAUGAUAUCUAUGUUUCUAAACAAUUCUCAUUUAUACUGCUAUAUUUGUUUAUAAACAGUACCAAAAAGUAUUUCAAUUUUAAUAAUAUAGAUACAUUUCUACACUUACAAUUAUUUUGAAAUAUGUAAUUAGCUGAAUGCAGUACCAGACAGUAUAGUAUAUAAUUGCUUUUGGCUAUACGCAAGUAAAUAUUGUCCUCUGGCGCAAAUGGUUGUAACUGCGCAUUUCCUCGUCGUCCAUGUUGUCUAACUAAGAUGGAUAAAUGGAUAUUUACAAAAGAAAUUAAGAUGGAGAAAUAUUGAUUCAAGAAGCGUGAUAAAAGCUAUUUUGACAUAGGAAGGAUGCAACAUUUUGACAUAAUGAGUUAAUUAAUCAGGAGUUAGAAUUUAAAAUAACAUGGUAUUCUUGUUUAUAAAUGUGAUUAUAUUUAUCAUGACUAACCCGAAAUUUAUGGGACAUGUCAUAGAGAAUUUGCAUGUUUACAGCAUGUUUUACUGUGUAAAUCAACAUUAUAAUAGGACAGUUUCAAGGCUCCUUAAGGUGUCCACGUAGGCAAACGUGUGGGACCCACCUUUUAAAAAAAAUGUCGAAACAUGGGUCAUCGGUUUCAUCUGUAUUUUGGGUCUUUGCAUAUUUCUUUCAUAGGCUUCUCGGGCCUGUUACCGUCCUCAUGGGGGUCGGCUUUGGCAGAUAAGGGUUGUCGUCUUUCUUCGUUUGAGGGCUGAGGGCGCUUCCUCUUCCAGAAUUCAUUUUUGUUACUCGAUCAUAAUAAACCUACACACGAUCUCUGCCGACGUCGCGAAUCAUCUUCCUGUAACGGAUUCUCCAGCCUCCUAUAUAUCGAGAUCGUCUAUGACUCUAUGAUUAAAUACAUUAAACUGUUCAUUUUCCUACCAGAGCUUCUCUCAACCAGAGCAGGUUUCAUCCAAUCAUGGAGAAUGUCUUCCUCUGCUGCGACGCUUUCCAACUUAGCCAGACUUCUUAUUUCAUCGUCUCUAGCCUCUUGCGCUUCGGGGAUUCCCAUAACGUCAAUAAAAACGGUGAAUUUAUGGGAAUCAACCUCAUCUUCCUUGAUGAAAAGAAUUUUGUGAUCCACGGCUCAUCCCAGCUGCUCGCGCAAGUCAGUUAUGUGCUGAAUUGAUCGUUAAAUUUGAUCGGUUUGAAGUUGCCCGAUGCACGAUUACGCAUCAUCCUUUUGUUAUCCCCAAAAAACUGUUGAUGAAGUCGUGACAACUCCUCCUACGAAUCAACCUUCAAAAAUUCAUGCUUUGCAAUUUUGACCAUGUCCAAGCUCUUUCAAACACAAAUUUGGAACUCUCCGGUAAAGCAUUCUAAAACAUUUUCUUUUCCAUGUUACUAUUCGACGACUAGACUAAGAGAGAGGCACCAACUCUUGGCAACGAUAGUGCGUUGUUUGUGGUCUUGGACAGGUAGAUAACUAAGCUAACAAAGAAAAACAUACCAACUCUGGCUUUUGAGCAGGUAAGUUCUUUUUGCUCAUACACUCCAUUUAAUUGGAUGUAAUGUUAGUUAUAUUUCUGAGCAGGUAUGUUCUUUUUGAGCAUCUUAUAUUUUUGUUUUCUCUUUUUUUUUUUUUUCUUUAGCUGAAUAUAGCUAAAAUCUAGAGAUGAUUCGGUACAACAAAUGAUCAUAACUUCUGCCAUACGAUUAGGUAAACAUCACGACCUUUUCAUGUAUGUUAAAUCAGUUCCGUACAAUUUGUGUUUAUCUAAAGCAGAAAUAAAUUCAGAUUUGUGAGUCACCACUCACCAAAGGCAUUACUUGGGACUUGGGAGUGAGAGUGAGUCAUCACUCACCAGCGUUGUAAUAAUCAACGCUAUUAGGCAACCAUUUCACAGCUGUGAGAGUCAGCUAAACACUGCUCAGUUAUAGAACUCAAAUGUUCAAUCGUGACAGCUCAGUAGCUAACUGAACAUUUCUGAUUAUUUUGAUAUUUGUUACUUUCAGCUUUUAUUACUUUCUGUUUAAAUACAUGUCCUCUAAUUACUUUCUAAGACUUCUCGACUUCGGUUGUGCCGUAAGAUCUCAGUUGUGAAGUUGCUAAAGUCGGUUUUAUCUUCUCCUCCUAGAAAGAAGCUAACCUGUUGACAACACAAGCUUUGACCUGGAACAUGUUAAAAAGCGUACAUGCUACUGCUUUAUCUGGGAAUGAAGUUAACUUCUGAAAUGUUUACAACGAGAAUGAUCCUGCUAACAAACAUUUUCUCCACAUAGCUGAAGGUGAAACUAUACGACCUUAAUUGCUUUUACAACGUGUUUGAACUUAAUACCCUUAUACACUUCAGUUAAGGUGCCUUAUAUUUGUCUCAUUUUUUAAUUGAAACUUAAAUGGAUAGCCUAAUUUCUCUGGGUGAGCAGUUCGUAAGGUGAGAUACAUGGGAGAUCUUGUGGAAGUGUAUGGAAUGAGUUUUCGUUAUUUACGGUGGAAUAAUCUCGGUGGAUUGAUUAUGCACUGAUGUUCAAUCAUCUAACAGUAAGUCCCUCCGAGUAAAUGAAGACCAUUGAAUUUUUUUUUUUUUUACUUUUUGUGUUUUAAUUCUUUUUUUUUAAUUGUAUCUUAAUCUUACAAACAUGUUUUAUGAAAGACUAGAUACAAUCCAAUAGCUACGAAAUAUUUAGGUUCUCUAUACAUCACCAUCUUAGACCUUAUACUGCAACAAGUUCAAUUAUAACCAAAUUUAAGUGCAGCCCGAAAACAUUGACAUUUAGGUGACAAUGCAGAAAUAAAGCAUACUCAGUUUAAUGGGAUAAGUCAUAAUUUGGUAAAACAAUCUACACUUU